rnacentral:rRNA from 1 species
UACGUAGGGUGCAAGCGUUGUCCGGAAUUAUUGGGCGUAAAGAGCUCGUAGGCGGUUCGUCGCGUCGGCUGUGAAAUCCCGAGGCUCAACCUCGGGUCUGCAGUCGAUACGGGCGGACUGGAGUGCUGCAGGGGAGACUGGAAUUCCUGGUGUAGAGGUGAAAUGCGCAGAUAUCAGGAGGAACACCUAUGGCGAAGGCAGCUCGCUGGGACGUUACUGACGCUGAGACGCGAAAGCGUGGGGAGCGAACAGG